GGAGCGGUCACGUGACAGGAAGGAAGCGAGCCAGCACAGCCAAUCACAGCACACGGAGAGAGCACCAGGAAGAGGGAGUGGUCACGUGACAGGAAGGAAGCGAGCCAGCACAGCCGAUCACAGCACACGGAGAGAGCACCAGGAAGAGGGAGCGGUCACGUGACAGGAAGGAAGCGAGCCAGAGCAGAAAGCUGAGCUUGCUUUAGGACAACCUGCGCCCCAGGUCGUCAACAAGGAGCUGGAUCAGAAGAGGAGCAGCCGGGACUCAAACCAGCACGGAUAUGGGAUGCCGGCACUGCAGGCAGAGGCUUAACCUACCACAGCGCCGGCCUCCACCUAGCACUCUUUAUCAGGGAGGGGCCAAUUUAUUGGGAAAGGAAGGAGAGAGGCUCACUCCCGUCAUUCACUGUCUAAGGUCUGAGCGCCCAGCAGCCAGGAUCUGAUAGAAUAUGAGUUCCAAGCUCUCAUCAGGAUUUGGAAUCUGGGCCAUCAUUUUACACGUGGGAGAAGAAAUUAAAGAAGAAGAAUUUUAAAAGAACAGAAUUAAGUCACCAUUUUAUAGAAUUCAUAAAGAUCUGAGAGUUCAGAUUGAGUUAAGCCAUUCAUAAACCCAGGCAGAAGAAAGUUAAAAAUCAAUAAACCCUCUGAGUGUGCAUUUUUAUGAAGUGGAAACGAUGCUAAUUCCUGUAACUAUGAAGUGGGAGGCUUCUUUGGAUCCAACGAUCAGUUUCAACUCUGGGCUGUCUUACAUUUUUAGUUUAUUGCCUCUCUGGAACCAAAAUCUCAGCCGCUAAAAUGCCAACAAUGUUUAUAAGAACGCCAAGGACACUGCUGGCUGUGGCACCAAUGUCUUCCCUGGGUGCCACCCUGCCCAGGAAGCGGAUAUUUCUACAAAGCUGACCUGGAGAAGUCAGACCAGGAUGGGGCACACUCAGUAGAUUAGACAGUACACCAUGCACUCAUGAAGAGCAGAUCACCUUGGGAACAGGGGUCUCUGAGAGCAGGAGCAGCGUGCAUCACUGGGCACCAGGUCCUCCCAUGAGGACACCUUAGUGGAACCGUGCAAAGCCCCGCCCGUCUCUCCACCUCCCAUUCCUAAACUCCGUCUAAGCCGCAUCAUGCCUGCUGUCUUUGUCACAGCUGAUGGGUAUGUAUCCUUUUGCCCAAGGUACGUGUCUGCCACUUGACAGAAAUUCUGUGGGAGAGAGGAUCACGCUUCACUGCCCAUAGGUGUCCACACCUACCACUCACCAUGCAGUACAGGCAAGGUGAGUAUUUGUCAAGUGAAUGAACACAUAGCUCACAAGUGGCUCCCAAGUCCUGUCUGAGAGUGUUUCUCUUUCUCUAGGUACUGGUCGCUCAGUAAUGGGGCUGCAGUCUAUUCUAGUUAAUCAAGAGUCCAGGGUCCAGACUCUGCUUCGUGACUUCAGUCGUUUGUCCAGCUAGUGUGCUCUGAGCCCUUGUCAUGGCCCGAGGUCUACAGCAGGAACUGCGGGUAUAAAGACAAACAGGGAGCAUGGCAGCGUGUUAAUACGUCAGUCCAAUCAAAGCCAGCCCCACAGCGACUGUUUCUUCUCAGGGGCAAACACGGUGAAUCUUUCCC